CCUGGACAGAAAGGAGACGAGGGGGACCAGGGCCUCCAGGGGCCUCCGGGGCCCUUUGAGUACGUCGACCCUCCAGAAGACCUGUACAUCAAAGGAGAACAGGGUAUUCGAGGUCUGAAAGGAGUCUGUGGAAAUCAGGGACUACCGG